UGGGGAAUUUUCCGCAAUGGGCGCAAGCCUGACGGAGCAAUACCGCGUGAGGGAGGAAGGCUUUUGGGUUGUAAACCUCUUUUCUCAAGGAAGAAGCACUGACGGUACUUGAGGAAUCAGCAUCGGCUAACUCCGUGCCAGCAGCCGCGGUAAUACGGAGGAUGCAAGCGUUAUUCGGAAUUAUUGGGCGUAAAGCGUCCGCAGGUGGUGCCUCAAGUCUGCUGUCAAAGACCGAAGCUCAACUUCGGGCAGGCAGUGGAAACUGAAGCACUAGAGUACGGUAGGGGUAGAGGGAAUUUCCAGUGUAGCGGUGAAAUGCGUAGAGAUUGGGAGGAAUACCGGUGGCGAAGGCGACCGCCUGGACGGGUACUGACACUGAGGCGCGAAAGCGUGGGGAGCAAACAGGAUUAGAUACCCCCGUAGUCC
rnacentral:rRNA from 1 species